rnacentral:misc_RNA from 1 species
UCAAAGCAUCAAGCUUGGCUUGUCGUUGGGCCCUUUAUCACCAGGUGAUAGGUCCAAAAGAUAAUGAGCGGUGUCGUAAAGACUCUAUAUGCAACGAGCUGAUAACAGCACGCAUCUAGUGGUCGUACGGCCCGGUCCUCACCUCUUUAUUUUUCAA